ACUGUAAGCAGUCCCUGAACAGAGAAGGCAAAAUCUUCACAGCGGAGAAAGAGGGCAGUAGCCUGACCAGGUUUCACAUCUUUGCCAAAGACAAGGUUGUCAGUUGGACUGAUUUCUUGAACAUGGAGGGGAUCAGGAUCUUGAGUAGAAGAAAUAAAGAUUCCCUGGUGCAUUUAUUGACACAAUCUGAACUAGCCGAGGCAAGGAAAACUUUCAAAACACUGGACAAGAAAGGCUUAGGCAUGGUCAGCAAAUCUGAAGUACAGCAAUUCCUGGACAGCACAAAAACGAGAGUUAGCUCCUACUUCCCAGACGACAGCAUGAUGUAUAUUGAUGAAGACUUAGACAG
rnacentral:sRNA from 1 species